UACGUAGGGUGCAAGCGUUGUCCGGAAUUAUUGGGCGUAAAGAGCUCGUAGGCGGUUUGUCGCGUCUGCUGUGAAAAUCCAGGGCUUAACCCUGGACCUGCAGUGGGUACGGGCAGACUGGAGUGCGGUAGGGGAGAUCGGAAUUCCUGGUGUAGCGGUGAAAUGCGCAGAUAUCGGGAGGAACACCGGUGGCGAAGGCGGUUCUCUGGGCCUUACCUGACGCUGAGGAGCGAAAGCGUGGGGAGCGAACAGG
rnacentral:rRNA from 1 species